rnacentral:rRNA from 1 species
UACGGGAGGCAGCAGUGAGGAAUAUUGGUCAAUGGGCGAGAGCCUGAACCAGCCAAGUAGCGUGAAGGAUGAAGGCUCUAUGGGUCGUAAACUUCUUUUAUAUGGGAAUAAAGUUUUCCACGUGUGGAAUUUUGUAUGUACCAUAUGAAUAAGGAUCGGCUAACUCCGUGCCAGCAGCCGCGGUAAUACGGAGGAUCCGAGCGUUAUCCGGAUUUAUUGGGUUUAAAGGGAGCGUAGGUGGAUUGUUAAGUCAGUUGUGAAAGUUUGCGGCUCAACCGUAAAUUUGCAGUUGAAACUGGCAGUCUUGAGUACAGUAGAGGUGGGCGGAAUUCGUGGUGUAGCGGUGAAAUGCUUAGAUAUCACGAAGAACUCCGAUUGCGAAGGCAGCUCACUAGACUGUCACUGACACUGAUGCUCGAAAGUGUGGGUAUCAAACAGGAUUAGAUACCCUGGUAGUCCACACAGUAAACGAUGAAUACUCGCUGUUUGCGAUAUACAGUAAGCGGCCAAGCGAAAGCAUUAAGUAUUCCACCUGGGGAGUACGCCGGCAACGGUGAAACUCAAAGGAAUUGACGGGG